rnacentral:rRNA from 1 species
UACGGGGGGUGCGAGCGUUGUCCGGAAUCACUGGGCGUAAAGGGCGCGUAGGUGGUCUGAUAAGGGUGUGGUGAAAGCCCGGGGCUCAACCCCGGGUCGGCCGUGCCGACUGUUAGACUAGAGUGCUGUAGGGGCAGGCGGAAUUCCGGGUGUAGCGGUGGAAUGCGUAGAGAUCCGGAGGAAGACCGGUGGCGAAGGCGGCCUGCUGGGCAGUAGCUGACACUGAGGCGCGACAGCGUGGGGAGCAAACAGG